rnacentral:tRNA from 1 species
GGCCGAGUGGCGGAAUUGGCAGACGCGCCGGACUCAAAAUCCGGUACUAGCAAUAGUGUGUCGGUUCAACCCCGACCUCGGCUA